UAUAAAGUCGGUGGUUAGAACUAAACAGGUGCAGGCUUCAGGAAACACAAGCCAGUCCCCACACCAACAGAAAUGCGGUUGAUAAGGGGCUCCCCGGCCCCUUUCCAAGGUUACUCAGCUCAACUCCCAAUCUGCCCGGGUCGUGACCCCUGCAGCACCCUUCUCUCUCCCUCACUCUCUGCCUCCGUUCCCCUUCCCCCAUCUCCUUGUCGACAGCCAGCCAGCCCAGUCUGCGUGCUGUACAAAGGAAACCCCCGGGGACCAGAAGAAGGUCAAGAUCGUGCUGAGGAAGGACCACCCUCGCUCUACUCUCAGCCCCCACACUCCUGCCCCUCCUUCUGUGAAGACGAGCCCACGUGGCAUCUUGGGGGAAAUCGUGGGGAGUGCAGUUUGCAGGAAGCCAGUAGGAACAGAAAAUGAAAUGAAGGCGCUGGAAAUUCUGCUAUCGGUGGAGUUCUCGGUUGCAGGAUCCUGACCGUGUACACGGAACUAAGCAAUUUCUAGAGUACCUUUCAGUUUUGCUUAUUAUGUAUUCUGGUUUGUUUUAUGGUUUGGGCAAGGGGGAUUUUCCCCAAAUGCUUCGUAGAGAAUAAGAUUAAAACACACUCUAAUAAAAGAAUGAAGUGAA